GAUGAACGCUGGCGGCGUGCUUAACACAUGCAAGUCGAACGGAAAGGCCCUGCUCUUGUGGCGUGCUCGAGUGGCGAACGGGUGAGUAACACUUGAGUAACCUUCCCUUUACUUUGGGAUAACUUGAGGUAACUGCGGCUAGUACCGGAUAGGAGCUCCUGCUUCAUAGUGGGGGUUGGAAGGUGUGGGCGGAGGGGGUGGUACUCGCGGCUUAUCAGCUUGUCGGUGGAGUAGUGGCUUACCAAGGCUUUGACGGGUAGCCGGCCUGAGCGGGGGACCGGACACAUUGGGCAGGAGAUAACGCGAAGAAGCAGAGGGGAGGAAGGAGUGGGGAAUAUUGCACAAUGGCAGGAAGGCUGCGGCAGCAACGCCGGGUGCGGGAUGACGGCAUUCGGGUUGCAGACCGAUUUCGCCGGUGACGAAGAGUGAGUGACGGUAAUGGGGAAAGAAGCAACGGCUAACUACGUG
rnacentral:rRNA from 1 species